rnacentral:rRNA from 1 species
GCAUAUCAAUAAGCGGAGGAAAAGAAACUAACAAGGAUUCCCCUAGUAACUGCGAGUGAAGCGGGAAAAGCUCAAAUUUAAAAUCUGCCAACCGGCCGAGUUGUAAUCUAGAGAAGUGUUUUCGGUCGUUAUCUCGGACAAGGCCCUUUGAACAGGGCGUCAUAGAGGGUGAGAAUCCCGUACUUGCCGAGUUCCUAAUGACUAUGUGAUACGCUUUCAAAGGUCGAGUUGUUUGGGAAUGCAGCUCAAAACGGGUGGUAAAUUCCAUCUAAAGCUAAAUAUUGGUGGGAGACCGAUAGCGAACAAGUACCGUGAGGGAAAGAUGAAAAGCACUUUGGAAAGAGAGUUAAACAGUACGUGAAAUUGUUGAAAGGGAAGCGCUUGAAGUUAGUCGCGUUUGCAGGGAUUCAGCCGUCAAGGUGCAUUUCCUUGUGAACGGGCCAACAUCAUUUUCGGGCGCGGGAUAAGGGCUUGGGGAAUGUGGCAACCUCGGUUGUGUUAUAGCCCCUUGUCGUACACCGUGCCCGGGAGUGAGGACUGCCAUGUAGGAGUGC